rnacentral:tRNA from 1 species
UGCGGGAUCGUCUAAUGGUAGGACAUCGGCCUUUGAAGCCGAGUAUCCUGGUUCGAAUCCAGGUCCCGCAG